GACGAACCGUCCAAACGUUAUUCGGAAUCACUGGGGCUUACAGAGUUCGUAGGCGGUCUGGAAAGUUGGGUGUGAAAUCCCUCGGCUCAACCGAGGAACUGCGCUUGAAACUACCAGACUCGAGGGAGAUAGAGGAAAGCGGAACUGAUGGUGGAGCGGUGAAAUGCGUUGAUAUCAUCAGGAACACCGGUGGCGAAGGCGGCUUUCUGGGUCUUACCUGACGCUGAGGAACGAAAGCUAGGGGAGCGAACGGG
rnacentral:rRNA from 1 species